AUGCCCCCAACGCAGGCGGCAGCCUUGAUCCCCUCCUUCCUCCCCAGUCCCCACCGCCGCCACGAACUCCUACUCCGACACGAACUCUGCUCAAGCCCGCUCCCAUGGUUCCCGUCAUCGGCAUGGACUCUUUGCCCGUUCUGCAAGCCGAAAAAGGACUCGAGUCCCUCGAUCGAAAUCCCAGAUCAGACCGGAUCGCGGCGGCGCCACGAUAGGUUGACGGCCUGCAGUCCUCCUCACGGGACAAGCUGCGUUCGUGGUGCGCUCUCGCUGCCCGCCGGCUUCGACGGCGUGGGCCGGGGCGCCGCCCUUCCGCAGAUCCGCAAUUGAGUCGUGCGUCCGGUCUGCCGCCUCCCCUCAGACGUCCACGGCUCUGUGCUCUUCCGCGACGUCCAGCGUUUCUCCUCUCUACGUUUCUUUGCACGCCUCAUCUCCAAGCACGAAGCCACGGCGAGAUGUGGGUCAUCAGCCUAAGGCAACAAGCCAAGAAUCGUGAGGGGAGAGAAUUUGACAUCAUAAAUGACUAUCUCUAGGCCUGGUCUUGGUACUAUGUUGAUAGCGAGGGUGCAAGGCUCAAGGGAAGCAGCCGGUUAUGUAGUUCUUUGUAUGCUUAUGGUAUCUUGGAUGAGGGUUACAAAUUCAACAUGUUAGUUGAGGAAGCUGCUGAGUUAGCAUGGCGGGCUUUUACCACGCAAUAUUCUCUGACAGAGCUAGUGGUGGCCGUGUUCCUGGUGGGCUUGACAGACCAGUUUUUAUCUGGAAGAAAGGCCUUUAGCGUGCGUUUGGAUCUGAAGAAACAAAGCAAGAUAUGGCUGCCAUUCCUCCUAACUUGACUAGUUACUAGUAUCUCCUUGAUCCUUUGAUAAGGUAGUCUUGGCGAGUGUUUGGGCAAUAGAGAACAUAACUUGGCAAUUUAUGUACAUGUUUACUGUACUCAUUUAUUCAGGAUUAGAAGCUUAGGCCGUGUUCGGAGGCUCUCCACUCCCGGAGCGGCCGGAGCCAUAGUUAAUCAUGGAGUGGGCAAAAGAGGUACUCCGCAUAUCCUUAUAUUCCGCGGAGCUGGGGGAAUGCCGAACAGGGCCUUAAAUUCUGAACUUUAUAGUUCAGGAGUAGCUACCUCCUAAUGUACCGGUGUAAUUUAAUAGUUUCAUCGAAUGUGAAUCAGAAGUAUAUGUUGUUAAUAUAGUUGGGUAUACAUAUCA